AUUUUUAGCUGAAUUACAACAAAUAACAAAAUUAAAAAAUAAUAAAUCAUUAUUUUUCGUAAAUUUCCCGUUUUUCUUACUUUUUAUCCUGGUUUUUCCCAGAUAUUAUACAAAUUUCAUGAAAAAUCAAAACACGAUCUCCCAAAGUACCAUCUGGACAAUAUUCCUUUUCAGAAAUGAUGCUGUGUUUAAAUAUCUGAUCAAGUUCUGGUAAGUUCUGAUAGAAUUUUUGAACACAGUAUAAAAAAAUAAAACAUCUUAGUAAAACCAAUACAUUCUUUGCUACAUUCAGAAUCUAAAAAUAUGGGAACUGAAAUUCCAUUUUGAAAGUUGUAGAAAAUGGGUCAACCAAUUAUCUUGAAUUGGUAUCAUAAUUUUACUUUACUGUAACUUUGGUCGACAUCACGACAUGUUUUGUGUAUUCUAUAUUAAGACUAAUUUUGUUAUUUUCUAUUACUAUUUUAUGAGAUAUAAAGAUAUAAGAUGUAAAAAUAAUAGUCUAGCUACGCUAUUAAAAAUAAAAUAAAAUUAUAUGCAUAUAAAAACCUAAUUAAUUUUUUGAUAAAAAACCAUCCAAGGUUGAUUGAAUUUUCCCUUCUUCGGCCAACUUCAUAAUCAUAUCUUUGAAGGAUUUAUGUUGCUCGAAUACGUCAAAAUCGCCUCUUUGCUGAAUCCCUCUAUGUAGAACUUAAUGCGCUUCUAGCAUUUGUUUGGUUGAUGGUGGUUUCUAAUCAGAUUCCUCGUCGUCGCUAUCAUCAGCCACAUUCUCUUUUUACCGUUUUGACUGUAUUUCAACACAUAUGUCUUCCUUGGUAACCAGUUCUGUAGUUUGGACUUCUUCGUCAAUAUUGAUCCCGUUGAUAUUAAUUUAUCUUCGCGAUAAAAUAAACCGGUUUAUACAAGUAUAAUAUCUAUAAGUAUAUCUCGUAUUUCAUUCGUAGCACGUUUGUUCAACGCAUGUAUUUAUUUAUCUAAUUUUUAAAUGACCCCAUUAACCAGUGUGCGAGUCGAAUAGACGAAUUUUAUAUAUAUAUAUUUAUAAUUACAGGUGGAAAAAAUAUUUAGUGAGUAUUCAUUUG